rnacentral:rRNA from 1 species
GUGUCAGCCGCCGCGGUAAUACGGAGGGGGUUAGCGUUGUUCGGAAUGACUGGGCGUAAAGCGCGCGUAGGCGGGCUGGAAAGUUGGGGGUGAAAUCCCGGGGCUCAACCCCGGAAUGGCCUUCAAAACUCCCAGCCUAGAGUUCGAGAGAGGUGAGUGGAAUUCCGAGUGUAGAGGUGAAAUUCGUAGAUAUUCGGAGGAACACCAGUGGCGAAGGCGGCUCACUGGCUCGACACUGACGCUGAGGUGCGAAAGCGUGGGGAGCAAACAGGAUUAGAUACCCUCGUAGUCC